rnacentral:rRNA from 1 species
CAGCCGCCACGGUAAUACGUAGGUGGCAAGCGUUGUCCGGAAUUAUUGGGCGUAAAGCGAGCGCAGGCGGUUAGAUAAGUCUGAAGUUAAAGGCUGUGGCUUAACCAUAGUACGCUUUGGAAACUGUUUAACUUGAGUGCAAGAGGGGAGAGUGGAAUUCCAUGUGUAGCGGUGAAAUGCGUAGAUAUAUGGAGGAACACCGGUGGCGAAAGCGGCCCUCUGGCUUGUAACUGACGCUGAGGCUCGAAAGCGUGGGGAGCAAACAGGAUUAGAUACCCCAGUAGUCCCUGUCUCUUAUACA